rfam:Photorhabdus luminescens subsp. laumondii TTO1 complete genome
GGAGUUGACUAGACAGUCGCUGCUUUAUCAUUAAUCCUUUGGAUGAUAGAUGGAGGAGAGGAAAGUCCGGGCUCCACAGGGCAGGGUGCCAGAUAACGUCUGGGGGGUGAAAGCCCACGACCAGUGCAACAGAGAGCAAACCGCCGAUGGCUUACUUAAUGUAGGAUCAGGUAAGGGUGAAAGGGUGCGGUAAGAGCGCACCGCACGGCUGGUAACAGUUCGUGGCACGGUAAACUCCACUCGGAGCAAGGCCAAAUAGGGGUUCAUUAGGUACGGCCCGUAUCGAACCCGGGUAGGCUGCUUGAGCCAGUGCGUAAGUGCUGGCCUAGAUGAAUGAUUGUCCACGACAGAACCCGGCUUAUCGGUCAACUUCACAA